CCUACGGGUGGCAGCAGUGAGGAAUAUUGGUCAAUGGACGAGAGUCUGAACCAGCCAAGUCGCGUGAAGGAUGAAUGUCCUAUGGGUUGUAAACCUCUUUUAUAUGGGAAUAAAGUGUUGGACGUGUGGGAUUUUGUAUGUACCUUAUGAAUAAGGAUCGGCUAACUCCGUGCCAGCAGCCGCGGUAAUACGGAGGAUCCGAGCGUUAUCCGGAUUUAUUGGGUUUAAAGGGAGCGUAGGCGGCUUUUUAAGUCAGCUGUGAAAGUUUGCGGCUCAACCGUAGAAUUGCAGUUGAAACUGGGAGUCUUGAGUACAGUAGAGGUGGGCGGAAUGCGAGGUGUAGCGGUGAAAUGCUUAGAUAUCACGAAGAACCCCGAUUGCGAAGGCAGUUCGCUGGGCUGUGACUGACGCUGAGGCACGAAAGCGUGGGUAUCAAACAGGAUUAGAUACCCUGGUAGUC
rnacentral:rRNA from 1 species